UCCUGGGCCUCCAGGAGAAUGUGCGGAAGCUGCCGAAGCUGCCCAGCCCGUCCCCACUUGCCAUCAAGCACCUGUGGAUCCGCACUGCUUUGUUUGAGAAGGUCCUGGACAAAAUUGUGCAUUACCUGGUGGAAAACAGGAAAAUAUAUAUGAAAGGAGAGAGCAGAGUCCUUCCUCUCACGAACCUCACAUCGUUGCAGGGAAAACAGGAAAAUAGUAAUUGUGGUUAAAUGUGUAAAUACUAUGAGAAGGAAGCCCUCCUGAUGGACGCGGUGGAUGGCCCCAUCCUUGCGUCUUUGUUGGUGGGGCCCCGUGCCCUGGAGUACACCAAGGUGAAGACUGCAGAUCACUUCUGGACUGACCCCUCGGCCGACGAGCUUGUCCAGAGGCACCGCAUCCACAGCUCGCACCUGUGGCAGGACUCACCCACCAAGCGUCCAGCCCUCUGUAUCCAGAAGAGACAUUCAAGUGGCAGCAUGGACGACCGACCAUCCCUUUCUGCCCGUGACUGUGUUGAGUCCCUGCACCAGAACUCCCGGGCCACGCUCCUCUAUGGCAAGAACAAUGUUCUGGUUCAGCCGGUGUCCCUAAGUAGGAAAAGCAGCGGUCCCUUCCUGUCAUGAGUCGCCAGGCUGUUGCUGAGGUCGCCACGGGAGCAAUGGAAUAUGGUGUCCCUAAGUAGGAAAAGCAGCGGUCCCUUCCUGUCAUGAGUCGCCAGGCUGUUGCUGAGGUCGCCACGGGAGCAAUGGAAUAUGGUGUCCCUAAGUAGGAAAAGCAGCGGUCCCUUCCUGUCAUGAGUCGCCAGGCUGUUGCUGAGGUCGCCACGGGAGCAAUGGAAUAUGGUGUCCCUAAGUAGGAAAAGCAGCGGUCCCUUCCUGUCAUGAGUCGCCAGGCUGUUGCUGAGGUCGCCACGGGAGCAAUGGAAUAUGGUGUCCCUAAGUAGGAAAAGCAGCGGUCCCUUCCUGUCAUGAGUCGCCAGGCUGUUGCUGAGGUCGCCACGGGAGCAAUGGAAUAUGGUGUCCCUAAGUAGGAAAAGCAGCGGUCCCUUCCUGUCAUGAGUCGCCAGGCUGUUGCUGAGGUCGCCACGGGAGCAAUGGAAUAUGGUGUCCCUAAGUAGGAAAAGCAGCGGUCCCUUCCUGUCAUGAGUCGCCAGGCUGUUGCUGAGGUCGCCACGGGAGCAAUGGAAUAUGGUGUCCCUAAGUAGGAAAAGCAGCGGUCCCUUCCUGUCAUGAGUCGCCAGGCUGUUGCUGAGGUCGCCACGGGAGCAAUGGAAUAUGGUGUCCCUAAGUAGGAAAAGCAGCGGUCCCUUCCUGUCAUGAGUCGCCAGGCUGUUGCUGAGGUCGCCACGGGAGCAAUGGAAUAUGGUGUCCCUAAGUAGGAAAAGCAGCGGUCCCUUCCUGUCAUGAGUCGCCAGGCUGUUGCUGAGGUCGCCACGGGAGCAAUGGAAUAUGUAUCUCACAACAGGGAAACGAGUCACAGAGGGGUCUAUACAACCUUCUCAGGCUCUUGUUUCAAGGAUGAAGAAGAAGAAAUGUUCCCCUGAGGUCAAGAAUAUCAACUGGCCCCAGGCAGUGCUUCAGAAAACUCCACAUCUGGCAAACAACAGGGGGUACUCUAUAAAUGACCCCAUUGAGGGAUGUGGAAAUUCACUCAUUAAGCUCAUUCAAGAAGAAGGAUUCUACUUUAGUCAUUGUCCCAAAUUUGUAGAAAACCAUAAAAUCUAAACCAUAUUCUUCUGUAUGCAAAGGGGAAUGAUCAAGGCAGUCAGUUGUGCUGUAACUGUAUAGAAGUCAAGAUACAUUUCUAACUCAAGCUUGGGCACACGUUUUACACUAAACAACAUCUCUCGCUGUUGUAUAGACCUUUAGCUGACUUGUGAACAUUGGCUCUAAUAGAUCUCUUCCUGAAACAGUGUUUACAGAUUUUUAAAAAUCUCAAUGGGCAUUAUUUAGAACAGGAGGUUUAGAUGAAUGUAAGAGUUGAACAGAUAAUGUAGAAAGUUCCCAUAUUCUACCCCUCCAGUUUCCCCAAUUGAUAACAUCUAACACGAGUGUAGUACCUUUGGUAUAAUUAGCAAAAUCAUAAUGAUACAUUUUCAUUAAAGUCACAGCUUCCAUUGAAAUUCUCUCUUUGUGCUUUGACAUUCUAUGAAUUUUGACAAAUGCAUAAUGUCGUGCAUCACCGUGACCAUGUUCUACAGAAAUCCAUACACCAGUGUCCCUAACUGCGCUAUCCAGGGGAGCAGCCACUGAUCAGAUGUGCCUGCUUAUGCUUAAGUUAAUUAACGUAAAUGAAGUUAAACAUUCAAGCGGUUGAAUAUCCCUGCUGCUUUGGAGACUGAGGAAUGGGGUAUGAAAUCGAGAGAAGGAGGAAAUAUGUGUGAAGCUUUGUUUUGUUCUGGUUUUCAUAUGUCAGCGUCAUAACAGUAGGAGAUACUGUGUGUGGGCUUCAAGUGUGUUUUGCUCUUCAAGAUUAUCUUUCCCCCAAGACCAGCUCUUUUCUGCUUCUCCUCCACUGAGCAUCAAAGCCUCAGUUACAUUUGGUGUGCACGUUUUGUGAAUUGAACAGGGAAGUUACUACGUUGGGUUUGGUAUGACCUGUGACAGAAGAAGUCUGGGGAGAUACACUGUCACACAUACUUGAACUGGAGACCAAGUGCUACCAUGUGAGCCGGAGGCUGGGGAUGUGGGGACCCUCUCUCUGCACCUUCAGGUCUCAGACCAGCACCUGCCUGGGACACCCUCAGCCUUGCCCCUGGGUGAAAGGAUGCUCCCGGAGUGGACAUCACAGAAAAUGUACCCUCUCAGCCUCCUGCAGAAGUGAGGUGGGAGGUGCACCCUGGAGCACAUUUCUCUCAGGAUCAGAAUAAGUCCUGCACAUGUGAGUCCAUGUGAGAGAGGCCUGUGUGCAGCUGCCCUGAGACCCUCCCUGGUUGGCGGGAAUUCUAGAAGCCUGUGUGAAGGCUGCUGGGCUGGCCACACACCCUGGCUCUCAUGGCCCCACUGAGCUCUCUCCUGGGACUGACCAGGCCCAGAGACUCCGAGCAGCAGACAGGAGUCCCUGCCCCUGUCACAACCUGCUGCUCCAGCCACAGAGUCCUGGCCCAUCCUGUGACCUUCGUUCAGGCCUGCCCGGGGUCUCCCCCCAGUCUUUGCAGGGCUCAGGCAAAGGCUGGCAAGGACAGUGUUCAUGUGGCUUCACCUACUAUAGAACCCCUGUCACGCUGCUUGUGGAUUAGGGGAAUUUGGACCAAGUACUUUUAAUUUCAUGUUUAUCCUCUUAGGGGCAAGGAAAGGUACAGGGUUCUGAGGAUUAAGUAUCUCCAAGUACCUAAGGUCACCCCAGGCACAGGACAGACACUAUGUGUGUGUGGCAAGGGUUGACUUUCUCUCUGACAGGGCCCAGCACAACCCCAGACCUGUGGCAGGUAUCCCAGGGUGGGGUGGCUGCAGUGGUUACUUGAUCAACUGAUUGGUUAGGGAGGCUGGCAGUAUACCCGUGAUCAUUCCCCCCCUCCACCCAUAUGACACAACAGUCUGGUCGGUGGAGGUGACAGGAAAAGGGAAAGGACACUGAUCACGGGAGAUAGAAGGGAAGCAGCAGGUUGUGAGUACUGAGGAAGGCAACGUCACGCACAGAAAUGCAUGGAGACAGCGGCUGCCUCCUAAGAAGGACAAGAUGACCCCAGUGUUCAUUCCAGGCCACAAUUAUGGAAUGUGAGGGCUGGAAAAGUACACUGGAGAUCAGAGACCCAGUCCCUCAUCGUGGUCCCAGGGAGGAGUGCAGAGCUGAGGUCAGAAUGGGGCCUGAGAUCAGCCCUUAUCCUGCCAGGAGCAGUGAGUAUGAGUUCUCACUGUCCCCUGUCCUUUCCCAAGGCCACCCCUUCCGGGCCACAGCUGCCAUGGUCCAUGCCAAAGAUUAAUUGCAGAUUAUGAAGACUCAGGAAAAGAGAGCAGAAUUCUGCACCUAAUUUCUUUCCUCUGUCAUGUCCUUCACUUUCUUGCAUUCCCAUCCUUAAGCUCCUUCUUCUGUGGCUCUUCACCACUCCCUCUCUGAACGAUUCUCAUCCUGAAGAACCUGGUCCUGUCCAGGCACAGGACAUCCUCACAUCUCCAGUGUCUAUAAGAUCUCCCGCCACCCCCUCACCUGCUUUCCGAGCAGCGCCUUGGGCCCAGACCUGAGUCUGCACUCCUGGACCCUGCUCAGCCACCCUGAGUGGUGGACUGGGAGCAGGGUGGGGGCGGAGGAUGGAUGGGCCCACCUGCCUGAGAGGCUCCCCCAGAAGACGGGGGCUUCCAGGAACCUCGCAAUUGGUGCUCUCCUGCCCCAGGGACGGGUGUGGUGCUCUGGACAGACUCGAUCCUUCUCUUCCCACCAGCUGGCAGGGGUCAGAAAGUCUCUUCCCCCAGGCUCAAGAGGGGGGUGGGUGAAGAAGGUGAGAGGCGAUAAAGUGGAAGAGUAAGAGGAGAUGUGGAAUGUGGAGAGGACGGGAGGAAAAGCAGAAGGCAAAUAAGGGCCCACAUCUCCGUGGCUUCCCUGACUUUGUCUUGGGCCCUUUGGGAAAGGCAACCAAAGGGAAGGGAGCCCCGCACAGGGAAGGGGAGGGAUGCCCUGAGCACAUCUCUCCUGGAAACGGAUACCUGCUCCAUACUUCCAGGGGUGCAUGGCCCUGACUCUGCCCAAGUCGGGCCUCCUGGGAAAAGUGAAGACAGAAGCCCUGAGCUCCCUGGCAUGCAAGCACGGCAGCUCCCCAUGUCCAGAUCUGCAGACCCGUGACCACACAGCAGCCUGGGCAUCAAGUAGGGGCCACCGCAGCCUCCAGCCCGGGCUGGGAGUAGCCCAAGCCCUUGGGGUAGUCAGCUUCUGCGGAGCCCUGUGGACAGCCUGGAUCACCUCAAACUGGGGUUCUAUAAUUUUUUGUUUUAAUAUAUAUAUAUAUAAAUUUUGUUUAUAUAUAUAUGUAAAAAUCAAAACACACAUGGAAAUGAAGGCAAAUUCAGUGCAGUGUCCAUUAGGGAAUUUGUAAGGAGGUAGAAUUGCAAAUUGCUUAUGUUUCUUUUAUUUUUCAAUUUUUUUAAUUAAUUCAAAUAUAACUGGUUUAAUUCCA